rnacentral:misc_RNA from 1 species
UCCCUGUUGCCAGGGCAGUCUAGCCUGAGAAAUACAACAGACUAUAAGGGUUGCGCUCGUUGAUGGACUUAACCAAACAUCUCACGACACGAGCUGACGACGGCCAUGCAGCACCUGUCACUCGGUUCCAAAGGCACUUUCUCCUUUCGGAGAAAUUCCGAGGAUGUCAAACCUGGGUAAGGUUCUUCGCUUACCAUCGAAUUAAACAACACGCUCCACCGCUUGUGCGGGUCCCCGUCAAUUCCUUUAUGUUUUAGUCUUGCGACCGUACUCCACAGGCGGGAUACUUAACGCGUUAGCUUCGCUACUACAGGGGUCGAUACCUAUAACAGCUAGUAUCCAUAGUUUACGGCGUGGACUAC